AUACGACUCUCGGCAACGGAUAUCUAGGCUCUCGCAUCGAUGAAGAACGUAGCAAAAUGCGAUACUUGGUGUGAAUUGCAGAAUCCCGUGAAUCAUCGAGUUUUUGAACGCAAGUUGCGCCUGAGGCCAUU
rnacentral:rRNA from 2 species